rnacentral:lncRNA from 1 species
CAGCUAUGGCAGGGGUCCUGACUGCAAUGGGUCUUGUGGCUUCCAGGACCUGGCACUGGGCCACUUAGGCAAUUGCUCUGUUGUCUCUCUGCCCAUGGACAAAAAGCCACAAAACUGAUGAUGGACAGCAAGAGUUUUGGAGAAGGAAUGGAGAGGAGAGUUCUGCAAGAGCCACGUACCUGGAGACCUAGCCCAGGGUGGACCAACAGUCACCCUAUAUUUCCACAUGAGUGUCCUAAGAGAUCAAUCCCAAGGCCCUGAAUAUUCUAGGCAAGUGGUCUGCUGCUGAACUAUACUCCCAGUUCAAGUUCAUGGUUACUAAGAGGCUGUUCUUGAUGUCUGAACUUAUGGCCACUCAUGCUUCCUGGAACAAUGAUAAAUUAACAAGGACUUCUGGUUCCCUCUUCCCAGUACAACCCUGAAAAACUCAUGAAGGUAAGAGGGAGGCUGAUGAAUCUAAGAAAAUAAUGCAAAAAUUCUGAGGAAACCUCUGGGCAGUCAGAAGAUGGUUGGGUCCAAUGUAAGAUGGAAAAUAAUAGGGCAAGUAAGUAAGAAGGCAGCCAGGUGCCAACUAGGUUACAGAAUCAUUGAGGGAUUUUAGAGCUCGAUUUCUGUAUUCCUAUGGUUGGGGGAGUAAGGUGCAGACAAACUGCAUGGCAGUCAGUGCUUUUGGAGAGAAGAGCAGCUUGUGGGCCCUAGCUAGCUGGGGAGCAGAGAACAGCAGAUAUAUACAGAAUGCCUGGCUUUGGGCACUCCUCUCUAUUCCCACAGCCUGAGGACAAGGAAAUUUUAGCCAAAAGAGAUACUUCUUAGAAACAGC